UUUUGCUUGUCCUAAGUGCUCUGAGACAUCUGUGCUUAGUCUGUGUGGAAAAAAUGGCAGCGGGAUGCAAAGAAAAUCAGAAAAGCCACUGAAGGCUUGAACCAGAGAACUGSAAAUUCUCCCGAUGGGUACAUCUGCUGGCGAGUGACCUCCUCCUCCAGAGCUGUAUCUACCUGUGCUCCAGAUGGAGAACCUAUCUCCCGAGCUACCCCAAUCAUUGUGUCCUUGCUAUGGACCAACCAGACUCACCUGCAACCCACUCAAAUGUUUUGCUAUGCAGAAUGUAAUCAUGUCCUCAGCAUUGUGAGGAAGAGCAGCUGCUUUUCUUCAGCCUGCUUUUAGGUCCUUUUGGAAAAAGAGGUGUCUUUGAUCUGGACUAGGAAUGCCCAGAUUGCUCAUGCUGGAAAACCUCAGCCUUGCCCUCUGUUCUGGGUAUGGAUUUGGUGUCAUCUUCUUUGCACCAGUCCUGCUGGGUAAUAUAGAGAAUUGAGAAGUAGAGUUUUGCUUCAUGGCCUUCUCYAGCUGUUAUCAAAUCUCCUGGCAGAGGAAAUAGGUUGGUAAUUCCUUGUGCAUUCAUUCAGCCCAUGCCAGUGUGAAAUAUGAAUGAAAGGCAAAACCAAAACCCCCUGCAAGCAGAGAUCACUAUAGAAAGAUUGACUCCUACAACCCAAUGCUACCUUCGAGGAACUCAGAAAAAAAAAAUCUAUCCAACAACACCAUCUGUUUGUGGCACAAUGUGUAAAUUUAUAUCUAUUUAUGAAUUUUUGAGUUAUGAUACUACAAAUAUCUCAGCUGCAGUUUUCAUAUCAGUACAUGAAAUAGUGUAGAGAUAUACCAUGUAUUUGAUCCCAGGACAAGAACUUGUAAGCACAUUAAAUAAUAAUAACAAAAAAGGCAAGGCUAGAGCAGCCAACGGGAACCAYUGCAAAACUUCUGCACCUCUUGGGGCUUUUGCAAAUCUUUUUAAUAGAACUUACUGGAGCUCAGCAUAGAAAAGUACCAGUUACUUGACAAGCCAGUUUCCCAGACUGUGUAUCAGGCAUUUCCAGUGCCUUUUAGCUGGCUCUCUGAUGAUGAAUSACUCAGAUUUGCAUCAG